rnacentral:rRNA from 1 species
AAUAUUUGACAAUGGGGGCAACCCUGAUCCAGCCAUGCCGCGUGUGUGAAGAAGGUCUUCGGAUUGUACAGCACUUUAAGUUGGGAGGAAGGGCUUUAGGUUAAUACACUGAAGUUUUGACGUUACUAACAGAAUUAGUACCGGCUAACUCUGUGCCAGUAGCCGCGGUAAUACAGAGGGUGCAAGCAUUAAUCGGAAUUAAUGGGCGUAAAGCGCGCGUAGGUAGUUCAGUAAGAUGGGUGUGAAAUCCCCGGGCUUAACCUGGGAACUGCUUUAAUAACUGCUGAUCUAGAGUACGGUAGAGGGUAGUGGAAUUUCCUGUGUAGCGGUGAAAUGCGUAGAUAUAGGAAGGAACACCAGUGGCGAAGGCGACUACCUGGACUGAUACUGACACUGAGGUGCGAAAGCGUGGGGAGCAAACA